AUGAUGGCGCCAUUGGAAAGCUUUGCUCAGAGUGUAGGAUCAACAACAGCAAUAACACUUGAAGAUGAUGCCGAGAGCAGUUUAAAGGGCGCGACCUGGUCCGGGACACCUGAUUGUGAUAGUUACACGACACCAAAGAAAUCCAGUAGCCUCCCGUUUUGUGGGUCAACAUACGAGCCUGAUUGCGACGAUAGCUUGCAGCCCAGGAUUGGAAUGGUUUUUGAUAGCUGGGAGGACGGAGAGGCGUUUUACACAAGAUAUGCACAUGAGGCCGGGUUCUCGGUUCGUAGAUUUACACAACACAAAGGUGGUGAUGGUGUACCGGUGUGGAAGCGUUUUGUUUGUGCAAGGCAAGGAUGGAGGGAAGAUAAAGAUAUUCCAGCCGGCCAAGUAAAUAAGCCUAGGAGGAAAGUGAAGUUAAGUAGGUGCGGUUGUGAAGCGAUGAUUGGCCUGAAGAGGAGAAAUGACAAUAAGUAUGAGGUUGCCCGAUUUGUCCAUAGACACACGCAUCAGUUUGUCUCUCCAAAUAAGAAACAAUUUCUCAGGUCUAAUAGGGAA